GUACAAAUUACACAUAUAUUAAGCAUGAUUACCUCUAUUUAUCUUUUGCAUCAAUUCAAAUUACACAUAUAUUAAGCCAAUACAACAGGAAAAUGCUAAACUCAUUAUUUGAUAGCCAUAAGCUUCUUUUAUAGCAAUCUAUUUUUGAAUGACUUUAAACCCUAUACCACAAAAGAAAUGAACAAAACAUGUAGACUUCCAUCCAUUGAGAAACAGGAUUUGGCAUUCUGCUUGAUAUGACCAUGCAACAAACCUCUCUAUUCUUCAAACAAGUAUAAUCAGUGAAGAUCCAAAUUUCUUCUUGUUAUAACAUCUAUAAGUUUAAACUAGUAGGUGGAAAAGCUACUACAUAAGUUAAUGCUUGGCCAAUACAGGAUCAGUUAGAUCUAGCUUUCGACUCAAUCACAUGCAGAUCUAAAGGAAACAUACCAGACAACAACAACAAAUGGGCAUAGCAUAUUACCAACAACAGUAACAAAGUUAAAAAGAAAACGGUAACCCCCAAAACCAUGUUGAAAUGUGCAGCUCAUUUUUUUUGAAAUUAAUUCUUAUUUAUUAGUUAUUGUUUCUAACUUUUCUUCAUGGUUAUAAUCCUAUGCAAGGGUUGAGGAAAAUGUGACAUGGUAAAUCUAAAAACAACCAUAAAUAACAGCCAGAAAACACAAUAUUAACGUAUGGCAGCUUCAAGGCACUUGAUCUCAGUAUGUUGUGAGUGACAAGCACCGUCAAAGACUCUAAGUAACUUGGCAAUAUCUCUAUUUCACACCCUCUUAUUGUUAUGGAAGUUGCACUAGGAACCAAGGACUUCUACAAAUUUUGAAAAAAGCUGAAAAAAUAAAAUUUGAGAGGUCAUAUUUAUUGAUAAUGAUAUCCUUGGCAUACUUAAGAAAUUAACAAAUAGAAAAUAUAUACAUAUUAUCAUAUUUGCACUUUUGCCUAUGUGAGUGCUCAGCAAUUGACCAAACUAGAGGUAGCCAUAGGGGAACUGACAUGCAUCAUGUAAUCACACUAAUUUUUGAAUUUAUCAAAUUAAAUCAAGAAGAAAAAAGAAUUGUGUACUUCAUAAAGAGCUGAGGCUUGCUUUGAAGGAAAUAACCUCAUUUUACCAGAAAACAUUUACUAUUUUGCAUGUUGUGGAUUCUUUAAUCCUAAUUUUAUUAUUUCGUUUUGUAGAAAAGAUUAUCAGUUGUUAGUUUAGAAAUCAACAGCCCCAACUCAUCAAAACAAAUUAUAACUAAUAAUGAAAGAGAAUAAAAAUGAAAAAGUGUAAUGCUGAUCCUAGUCCUCAUCAACAAAAGGUAGGCCACUGCCGAAGAUACUUGAAAUCUCCUAGUACUUUACCAAAAAUCUAUAAUAAAAGAAAAACGAAAUUCAAAAGUUGGCAUCAUUUUGUCACAAUCCACUAAAGCAGAAAAGGGCUCUUAACAAACAUUUAAAGCUUAGCAUGCG
rnacentral:misc_RNA from 1 species